CAGUCGCCGCGGUAAUACGUAGGGUGCAAGCGUUGUCCGGAAUUAUUGGGCGUAAAGAGCUCGUAGGCGGCUUGUUGCGUCGACUGUGAAAACCUGGGGCUCAACCCCGGGCCUGCAGUCGAUACGGGCAAGCUAGAAUUCGGUAGGGGAGACUGGAACUCCUGGUGUAGCGGUGAAAUGCGCAGAUAUCAGGAAGAACACCGGUGGCGAAGGCGGGUCUCUGGGCCGAUAUUGACGCUGAGGAGCGAAAGCGUGGGGAGCAAACAGGAUUAGAUACCCGCGUAGUCCCUGUCUCUUAUAC
rnacentral:rRNA from 1 species